GCCUUUGAGAGAGAGCCUUUCACCACCAUUGCACUGUAACUGGCUAUCAAGCACAGAGACCAUGGUGGUCGAUCUAUGCAUCUGUGCAGUAAUGUGGCAAAAGUAAACUAUGUUUAUUGUGAAGUCACUGAGAUACUGAAGUGUUACUGUGUUGUGUCAGGAAGAAUCCUGAACCCCAGAGGACCACCAAGGAGCCAUUUCCAAUGUAAUGCUGUACAGAAAUUAAGCUGAAGUGAUGAUAAUGAUUCCAAGGAAGACAAGAGCUUCAACACUUUCAAGUUUUGACUCCUCACUAUUCACUGGAUUCCUAACAGAUUUGCAGUUUCUUGUAAGAGAGGGAUAGGAAAGAAACUCUGAAUACGAUCCUGUCAUUGAGCCCAAAAGUGGACAAAUGGAACUUCAUGAAACUAAAUAAACAAACAAAAACUUUACCAACUGACAUCUUAUAGAGAUUUGUUAUAUAGCUAGAAUAAAAAAAAUCUAAAUCCUAAGAAAACAGACAACCUAAUUAAAAAUUAUGAUACUGAACUAAACGGAACUCUUAAAAGAAUGAGCAUUUCAAUAAGAACUUCAAGACACUGAGGAAAGAAAUUGAAGAAGACCUCAGAAGAUGGAAAGAUCUCCCAUGCUCAUGGAUUGGCA
ensembl:lncRNA